GCCUUCAUGAAGCUGGAAUUGCUAGUAAUGGCAGGUCAGCAUACUGCCGUGAAUACGUUCCCGGGCCUUGUACACACCGCCCGUCACACCAUGAGAGUUGGAAAUACCCGAAGCCUGUGAGCUAACUUUUAGAGGCAGCAGUCGAAGGUAGAGCCAAUGAUUGGGGUGAAGUCGUAACAAGGUACC
rnacentral:rRNA from 1 species